ACACCCUUGAAUGCAAAGACGUGAGAAUUUAUUUUGUCUUACAACAUAAAACUAAUUUUUUGGAGAAGACUCCCUUCUUCAAAAAAAAUGUUUUAUCA